rnacentral:piRNA from 1 species
UAGCUAGUCUAACUUCCUUGAUGAGUUCC